rnacentral:rRNA from 1 species
UACGUAGGGGGCAAGCGUUGUCCGGAAUCAUUGGGCGUAAAGCGCGUGUAGGCGGCCCGGUAAGUCCGCUGUGAAAGUCGGGGGCUCAACCCUCGGAUGCCGGUGGAUACUGUCGGGCUAGAGUGCGGGAGAGGCGAGUGGAAUUCCUGGUGUAGCGGUGAAAUGCGCAGAUAUCAGGAGGAACACCAACGGCGAAGGCAGCUCGCUGGGACGGUACUGACGCUGAGGCGCGAAAGCGUGGGGAGCGAACAGG